CCCUUAGACGUUCUGGGCCGCACGCGCGCUACACUGACGAAGGCAACGAGCUUUCCUUUACCGAAAGGUACGGGUAAUCUUUUGAAACUUCGUCGUGCUGGGGAUAGAUCCUUGCAAUUUUUGAUCUUAAACGAGGAAUGCCUAGUAAGCGCAAGUCAUCAACUUGCGUUGAUUACGUCCCUGCCCUUUGUACACACCGCCCGUCGCUGCUACCGAUUGAAUGGUUUAGUGAGGCCUUCGGAUCCGCGACUCGUUUGUGGAGAAGUUGGACAAACUCAGUCAUUUAGAGGAAGUAAAAGUCGUAACA
rnacentral:rRNA from 1 species